UCCAGAGGGGGCAAGCGUUGUUCGGAAUUACUGGGCGUAAAGGGCGCGUAGGCGGCCUGUUAAGUCGAACGUGAAAUCCCCGGGCUCAACCCGGGAACUGCGUCCGAUACUGGCAGGCUUGAAUUCGGGAGAGGGAUGCGGAAUUCCAGGUGUAGCGGUGAAAUGCGUAGAUAUCUGGAGGAACACGGGUGGCGAAGGCGGCAUCCUGGACCGAGAUUGACGCUGAGGCGCGAAAGCCAGGGGAGCAAACGGG
rnacentral:rRNA from 1 species